GACAGAGGAUGCAAGCGUUAUCCGGAAUGAUUGGGCGUAAAGCGUCUGUAGGUGGCUUUUAAGUCCGCCGUCAAAUCCCAGGGCUCAACCCUGGACAGGCGGUGGAAACUACCAAGCUGGAGUACGGUAGGGGCAGAGGGAAUUUCCGGUGGAGCGGUGAAAUGCGUAGAGAUCCGGAAGAACACCGGGUGGCGAAGGCGGUCUGCUGGGCCAAGACUGACGCUGAGGCGCGACAGCGUGGGGAGCAACAGG
rnacentral:rRNA from 1 species